CCUGGCUCAGGAUGAACGCUGGCGGCGUGCCUAAUACAUGCAAGUCGAGCGAACGGACGAGAAGCUUGCUUCUCUGAUGUUAGCGGCGGACGGGUGAGUAACACGUGGAUAACCUACCUAUAAGACUGGGAUAACUUCGGGAAACCGGAGCUAAUACCGGAUAAUAUUUUGAACCGCAUGGUUCAAAAGUGAAAGACGGUCUUGCUGUCACUUAUAGAUGGAUCCGCGCUGCAUUAGCUAGUUGGUAAGGUAACGGCUUACCAAGGCAACGAUGCAUAGCCGACCUGAGAGGGUGAUCGGCCACACUGGAACUGAGACACGGUCCAGACUCCUACGGGAGGCAGCAGUAGGGAAUCUUCCGCAAUGGGCGAAAGCCUGACGGAGCAACGCCGCGUGAGUGAUGAAGGUCUUCGGAUCGUAAAACUCUGUUAUUAGGGAAGAACAUAUGUGUAAGUAACUGUGCACAUCUUGACGGUACCUAAUCAGAAAGCCACGGCUAACUACGUGCCAGCAGCCGCGGUAAUACGUAGGUGGCAAGCGUUAUCCGGAAUUAUUGGGCGUAAAGCGCGCGUAGGCGGUUUUUUAAGUCUGAUGUGAAAGCCCACGGCUCAACCGUGGAGGGUCAUUGGAAACUGGAAAACUUGAGUGCAGAAGAGGAAAGUGGAAUUCCAUGUGUAGCGGUGAAAUGCGCAGAGAUAUGGAGGAACACCAGUGGCGAAGGCGACUUUCUGGUCUGUAACUGACGCUGAUGUGCGAAAGCGUGGGGAUCAAACAGGAUUAGAUACCCUGGUAGUCCACGCCGUAAACGAUGAGUGCUAAGUGUUAGGGGGUUUCCGCCCCUUAGUGCUGCAGCUAACGCAUUAAGCACUCCGCCUGGGGAGUACGACCGCAAGGUUGAAACUCAAAGGAAUUGACGGGGACCCGCACAAGCGGUGGAGCAUGUGGUUUAAUUCGAAGCAACGCGAAGAACCUUACCAAAUCUUGACAUCCUUUGACAACUCUAGAGAUAGAGCUUUCCCCUUCGGGGGACAAAGUGACAGGUGGUGCAUGGUUGUCGUCAGCUCGUGUCGUGAGAUGUUGGGUUAAGUCCCGCAACGAGCGCAACCCUUAAGCUUAGUUGCCAUCAUUAAGUUGGGCACUCUAAGUUGACUGCCGGUGACAAACCGGAGGAAGGUGGGGAUGACGUCAAAUCAUCAUGCCCCUUAUGAUUUGGGCUACACACGUGCUACAAUGGACAAUACAAAGGGCAGCGAAACCGCGAGGUCAAGCAAAUCCCAUAAAGUUGUUCUCAGUUCGGAUUGUAGUCUGCAACUCGACUACAUGAAGCUGGAAUCGCUAGUAAUCGUAGAUCAGCAUGCUACGGUGAAUACGUUCCCGGGUCUUGUACACACCGCCCGUCACACCACGAGAGUUUGUAACACCCGAAGCCGGUGGAGUAACCUUUUAGGAGCUAGCCGUCGAAGGUGGGACAAAUGAUUGGGGUGAAGUCGUAACAAGGUAGCCGUAUCGGAAGGUGCGGCUGGAUCACCUCCUUU
rnacentral:rRNA from 1 species